rnacentral:rRNA from 1 species
CCUACGGGAGGCAGCAGUGGGGAAUAUUGGACAAUGGGGGCAACCCUGAUCCAGCCAUGCCGCGUGAGUGAUGAAGGCCUUCGGGUUGUAAAGCUCUUUUGGCGGGGACGAUGAUGACGGUACCCGCAGAAUAAGCCCCGGCUAACUUCGUGCCAGCAGCCGCGGUAAGACGAAGGGGGCUAGCGUUGUUCGGAAUUACUGGGCGUAAAGCGCGUGUAGGCGGUUUGCCAAGUCGGGUGUGAAAGCCUUGGGCUUAACCCAAGAAAUGCACUCGGUACUGGCAGACUAGAGGACCGGAGAGGAUAGUGGAAUUCCCAGUGUAGUGGUGAAAUACGUAGAGAUUGGGAAGAACACCAGUGGCGAAGGCGGCUAUCUGGACGGUUUCUGACGCUAAGACGCGAAAGCGUGGGGAGCAAACAGGAUUAGAUACCCUGGUAGUCCACGCCGUAAACGAUGGGUGCUAGACGUUGGCGAGCUUGCUCGUCAGUGUCGCAGCUAACGCGUUAAGCACCCCGCCUGGGGAGUACGGCCGCAAGGUUGAAACCCAAGGAAUUGACGGCUGAGACGNGCGACGCGACACGAGGAGAG